UGCCAAGUGUUUCUUUCUAUGAUGUUCA
rnacentral:piRNA from 1 species